AAAUUUAAAUAAUAAACUAGGAUUAGAUACCCUAUUAUUUUAAAUGUUAAUUAUAUUUACCAGGGUACUAUUAGUUAAGGUCUUUAAACCCAAAGAAUUUGGCGGUAUCUCAUUCCAUUCAGAGGAACCUACCCCGUGAUUGAUAAUACACGAUUUACUCUACUUAAUUUAUUUGUUUGUAUAUCUCCGUUAUCAGAGAAUCUUUUUAGAGUUAUAAUUCUCAAGAUUUAUAAUUAUAAAAUAUUUCAGGUCAAGGUGCAGCUUAUAGUUAAGAGGAGGUGGGUUACAAUAGGUUUUUGUUUAUAACGGAUUUGAUGGUGAAAUACURUUAAUGAAGGUGGAUUUGAUAGUAAUUUAAUUUAUUUAAUUUAACUGAUAUUGGCUCUGAGGUGUGUACACAUCGCCCGUCGCUCUCAUUAUUGAUUAUUCUAUUUUAUUAUUUUAAGGUAGCUUCAAUUAUAGAUGAGAUAAGUCGUAACAUAGUAGAUGUACUGGAAAGUGUAUCUAGUAAGAGUUU
rnacentral:rRNA from 1 species